ACAUGUUCUUUAUUCUUGAAUAUUUUAUCUCCCUAUAUUUAUUUUAUACUAUCAAUCUGUCACAAAGACUUUAAUAGAUGAUGUUGAAAGAUUUUUAUAUCGAGAUUCUGUACGAAUAUUAGUGAGAUAUACAGAUUGCUUUCUCUCACUCACAUACUCAUCUACCUGCUUGUUUAUGUCUGAUAUCAAGAUCGAAUGAUAUCUGGCAAUGGUAUCUAUUGAUGAUAUGAAUAUCUAGCAAUACCUGGCAACGACAUGGAGAGAUCUAGCAAAAUCAAUCGUAGAAGAAAGAAUAUAAUAGAGAUUGAUUUGGAGUAGAAGAUGACUAUAUAUAAAGAUAAUUUAUGGGUAAAAGCAGAGGUCGAUACUACUAAUACGACGAUAGAAAUCCAUACAUCUUAUGAAGAGCUCUAUAGUAUAGCAACCUCUCUCUUCUACUAUCAAGUCAUAUCUUCCUAUAGCUAAUUAUUACUACUAUUUACAGUUUUUUAAUACUCUUUAAUUAUUUUGUAUUAAAAAGAACGAAGUCAUUAUGGAAGGCUGCAUUAUGGGCCUCACGACGAAGGAGGCACGAACUGAAUUUACGAUAAGCCACG
rnacentral:sRNA from 1 species